rnacentral:tRNA from 1 species
GCGUUAGUAAAUCCGUUGGCU